UCUCUGUUAGUAUAUCGGUUAGUACACGCGCCUGUCAUUUACUGAGGGUCGCGCGAAAGCGGGGUUCGACUCCCCGACAGAGAG